rnacentral:rRNA from 1 species
AACGAACGCUGGCGGCAUGCCUAACACAUGCAAGUCGAACGAGAUCUUGAGGGCUAGUGGCGCAUGGGUGAGUAACGCGAGGGAAUCUGCUUUUUGGUUCGGAAUAACAGUAGGAAACGAUUGCUAAUACCGGAUGCUGACGAAAAACCAAAGAUUGAUCGAAAGAGGACGAGCCCGCGAAGGAUUAGCUAGUUGGGGAGGUAAAGGCGCAGCAAGGCGACGAUCGGUAGCUGGUCUGAGAGGAUGGUCAGCCACACUGGGACUGAGACACGGCCCAAACUCCUACGGGAGGCAGCAGUGGGGAAUAUUGGACAAUGGGCGAAAGCCUGAUGCAGCAAUGCCGCGUGGGUGAUGAAGGCCUUAGGGUUGUAAAGACCUUUUUCCCGGGACGAUAAUGACAGUACCGGAAGAAUAAGCGCCGGCUAACUACGUGCCAGCCGCCGCGGUAA